CAACCCUCAAGCCCCCUUGCUUGGUACUGCGGGCGUGGCGGGCGCUGAAAUGCUUUGCAGAGCCGGUAAGCACUCUGAGCGUAGUAAUUCAUUCUCGCUUUUGAAGGCUCCCGGUCUCUCAGCCGUAAAACUUUUAUCUAAAGUUUGACCUCGGAUCAGGUAGGAAUACCGCUGAACUUAAGCAUAUCAUAGCGA
rnacentral:misc_RNA from 1 species